rnacentral:rRNA from 1 species
GACGAACGCUGGCGGCGUGCUUAACACAUGCAAGUCGAACGGAAAGGCCCUGCUUUUGUGGGGUGCUCGAGUGGCGAACGGGUGAGUAACACGUGAGUAACCUGCCCUUGACUUUGGGAUAACUUCAGGAAACUGGGGCUAAUACCGGAUAGGAGCUCCUGCUCCAUGGUGGGGGUUGGAAAGUUUCGGCGGUUGGGGAUGUACUCGCGGCUUAUCCGCUGUAUGGUGGGGUAGUGGAUUACAAAGGCUUGGACGGGUAGCCAGCCUGAGAGGGUGACCGGCCACAGUGGGACUGGGAGAGGGCCCAGACGGCUACGGGAGGCAGGAGUGGGGAAUAGUGCACAAUGGGCGGAAGCCUGAAGCAGGAACGCCGCGUGCGGGAUGACGGCCUUCGGGUUGGAAACCGCUUUCGACUGUGACGAAGCGUGAGUGACGGUAAUGGGUAAAGAAGCACCGGCUAACUACGU